rnacentral:rRNA from 1 species
CUACGGGUGGCUCCAGUGGGGAAUAUUGCACAAUGGGCGCAAGCCUGAUGCAGCCAUGCCGCGUGUAUGAAGAAGGCCUUCGGGUUGUAAAGUACUUUCAGCGGGGAGGAAGGGAGUAAAGUUAAUACCUUUGCUCAUUGACGUUACCCGCAGAAGAAGCACCGGCUAACUCCGUGCCAGCAGCCGCGGUAAUACGGAGGGUGGCAAGCGUUAAUCGGAAUUACCGGGCGUAAAGCGCACGCAGGCGGUUUGUUAAGUCAGAUGUGAAAUCCCCGGGCUCAACCUGGGAACUGCAUCUGAUACUGGCAAGCUUGAGUCUCGUAGAGGGGGGUAGAAUUCCAGGUGUAGCGGUGAAAUGCGUAGAGAUCUGGAGGAAUACCGGUGGCGAAGGCGGCCCCCUGGACGAAGACUGACGCUCAGGUGCGAAAGCGUGGGGAGCAAACAGGAUUAGAUACCCUAGUAGUC